rnacentral:rRNA from 1 species
GUCUACGGCCAUACCACCCUGAACGCGCCCGAUCUCGUCUGAUCUCGGAAGCUAAGCAGGGUCGGGCCUGGUUAGUACUUGGAUGGGAGAAUAUCUGGUCCCCAGUUC